AGCGUAGGCGGGCUCUUAAGUUAGGUGUUUAAUCCCGGGCCCAACCCCGGACAGGCACCUAAAACUGGGAGUCUUGAAUAGUGGAGAGGACGGCGGAAUUGGGGGUGUAGCGGUGGAAUGCGUAGAGAUCCCCAAGAACACCAGUUGCGAAGGCGGCCGUCUGGACACAUAUUGACGCUGAGGCUCGAAAGCAUGGGGAGCAAACA
rnacentral:rRNA from 1 species